rnacentral:snRNA from 1 species
GGCUGUGACUUCAUUUGGCUGUGACAUCUGUCAUUCCAUUGAUCUUGAGGGUUGAUUUAGCUGAUUUGAAUAGCUAGAUGAUGUUCCCUUCCUCCCUCACUACUCCAUAUGCAUCUCUCCCAAAGUGUGGACUCAAUUUAAGAAAACAUCUUCAAUUCUUCUUUCUUCUUCCAAUGACUUUCUUCAGUCAAGAAUAUAUGAGUAGGUGCAUUCCCCUACUAGAUCAAGUUCUCAAGAUUUAUUUGUAAGAGAAUAUAGGCUGGGGCAGCUACGUGGCACAGUGGAUAGAGCAACAACCCUGAAAUCAGGAGGGCCUGAGUU